GGAGAAAAAAACAGGAACCCAGAAAAGUAAGUUCUUCGUGUGCACGAUGCAUACAUUACAACUAAAUAAGCAGUCUUAACUCAAGUCUUCAUACGCAUUCCUGUUUUCUUUCUGCAAAAGUUGUAUAAAAUACGAGAGGAAAGAAAGGGAGGAAAAAGCAGCGAGCCUCAAAUUUCUCUGGAUUUCCCCCUAGAGAGGAGCCAUCGGAGCUGUUUGCUGGUGAUGGUGGGCGAUGAUCAAUCAUCUAUUGCAAUGGCGAGUAGAGAUAGGGAUCGAGAGCUUCUCAUACCAGUUGCCGAUGAUGCCUCUUCCAAAGCUUCUUUGUCAUCUGUUGCAUCGUCUCAUCAUUUUGUACAGAGGUUUUUGCUCCUGAUAAUGAGACGCGCCUUAUUUUUCGAAUGGGUUUCCGUAGAAACCUCUGUUUAGUUCUAGAGUUCUGUUGAUAGUGGGAGAAGGAGAUGAUUUGGUUUUCCUUGCAUACGCAUUCUCUCUCCUCUCCAAGAAGUCAGAGCUGGGAAGAUUGGUAACCAGUACCAGAAAGAAUCUAAACGUAUUCUUGUUUAGUUUGCUAUUUGAUUGAUUAUCUCUGAGAGGGAAAAAUUAAAAAGAAUGAAAAAUUUAAUGGUUGGUUCUGAUUUUA